AGUUGCUGGGUCAUGUUGGCAGUGAACUGGGUGCCCUGGUGCGAGAGAAUCUCACGGGGAAAACCCAUCCGAGAGAACACUCACAUUAGGGCUUCAGCUACCAUCUCUGCCUGAAUAUUGCUCAGGGUGACUGCCUUGGGGUACCGAGUCACGUAAUCCACAAUGGUCAGAAUGUACUUCUUACCAGAGAGACUAGGCUUGGCUAGGGGACCUAUAAUGUUGACAGCUAUUCUGCCAAACGGAUCUUCGAUAAUAGGUAAGGGAUGGAGGGGAGCCCUAUG